rnacentral:lncRNA from 1 species
GCUAGUAUUUAGUGGGUCCUAGUGCUGUGUAGGGCCCUUUUCUCAGGCAAAAUUCUAACAUCUGACCGCACCCUCCUCUCUUUGCUAUUUAAAAAAAGAAAGAAAGAAAGAAAGAAAGAAAGAAAGAAAGAAAGAAAGAAAGAAAGAAAGAAAGAAAGAAAGAAAGAAAGAAAGAAAGAAAGAAAGAGGGGAAAGAAAGGGAGGGAUAAAGAGGAAAAAAUAGCUGUGCUCCUGCUUCUUUCGUUCUAAGAUAAAUUCUCCCGGAGACAACCUCUCCCACUAAUUGUGUGUUAGCCAUGAAUUUUAUCUCAAGAGCUGACGCACUGCGCUCUCAACUGGUGUUGAAAAGCAGCCUGUUACAGUGUGGGAUUCAUAAAAGGGCCUCUAUGGUGUGUGAGAAAGAAUAUCUGUGUGCCUAGGCAGGAAACUUUUUGAUCUACAGAAAAGCCAGAAGACAUCUAGCAUACCAGAAUAGGAGUCCUGUCUUAACUGAGCAAUAUACACUAUGGAGAGAUCCUUCAAAACCCGUCGGGACGAAUAACAGAUGAAUUCAUAAAACUGUUCAUCUCUGUUAUCCUGAAUGGUCACUCAGACAACAUUUUACUCAACUAUAAAGGGGAACACUUAAAGUGCAUAUGAGAAGAGAAGAGAAUGACCACAGGAGAAAAUCAUCUCAGGGAGAAGCAUAUUGUGUGAUGUUCUAUAUUUAUGAGACCCAUAGCAAACUGUGAAGAGAUAACAGAAUGCUUUUUGCGUGAGCUGAAACAGUAGAUGAAAUCUUUCAUUAAAAUUACUCAUACUUUGGGUCCUAUUCUUAUUUAUAAAUAAAUAUUAUUGCAAACAUUUUU